GGUGCUGCCUGCCCAGUGAAACACUUUAAACGGCCGCGGUAUCCUAACCGUGCAAAGGUAGCGUAAUCACUUGUCUUUUAAAUAAAGACUAGUAUGAACGGCUAAAUGAGGACAGAUCUGUCUCUUACAAUUGACCAGUGAAACUGAUCUUCAAGUCCAAAAGCUUGAAUAAACACAUAAGACGAGAAGACCCUGUGGAGCUUCAAACCUACACUAUAUUAACCAAAUAGCACCGGUUUUAAGUUGGGGCGACUUCGGAAUACAACCUAACUUCCGAGCACAGGGCCAUCACACCCUCACCAAGACCGACAGGUCAAAGAAAAUCCGACCCAGUCACACUGACCAACGAACCAAGUUACCCCAGGGAUAACAGCGCUAUCUUCUUCAAGAGUCCCUAUCGACAAGAAGGUUUACGACCUCGAUGUUGGAUCAGGACACCCAAAUGGUGCAGCAACUAUUAAAGGUUCGUUUGUUCAACGAUUAACAGUCCUACGUGAUCUG
rnacentral:rRNA from 1 species